rnacentral:rRNA from 1 species
UACGGGGGGGGCAAGCGUUGUUCGGAAUUACUGGGCGUAAAGGGCGCGUAGGCGGUUUGCUAAGUUGGAUGUGAAAACUCUGGGCUUAACCCAGAGCCUGCAUCCAAAACUGGCAAACUUGAGUACUGGAGGGGAAAGCGGAAUUCCUGGUGUAGCGGUGAAAUGCGUAGAUAUCAGGAGGAACACCGAUGGCGAAGGCAGGUCUCUGGGCUGACACUGACACUGAUGCGCGACAGCGUGGGGAGCAAACAGG